rnacentral:misc_RNA from 1 species
AAGUCGUAACAAGGUCUCCGUUGGUGAACCAGCGGAGGGAUCAUUACAGAGUUAUACAACUCCCAUACCAUUUGUUAACUUACUCAGUUAUGCCUCGGCGUAAGCUCAGUUCAGAAGCGUUUCAUCAAGUUACCCUGUAGCUACCCUGUAGCUACUCUGUACUUGCUGAUUCGUUACCCUGUAGCCCGCCGGUGGUACGCUAAACUCUUGUUUAAUUUUAUAUUCUGAUUCUUAUUUUAAUAAGUUAAAA